UUGAACGAUACUGAUCAGAUUGAAAAAAUAUUUGCAAAGAGCCCUCACCAGCCUCGAUUGAUGUGUGGGGGGUGAAGCAUCAAGCUUUACUCAUUCUCCUUGAAGACUGAUGCACAGAAAUUUUUGAGAAGGUAAUUUGCUGCAAGAAAAUGCAAGGAAGUGAACAUUUAUGUAAAGAAGAAAGGAACCAUAUUUUGAAGAAUGUCAAGAGAAAUGACAAAUGAUGCUAGAAGCACAUCUAGAAAAAAAUCACAAAGGAGGUGUCUGCAUGUUCUGAUCAUUCUCACCCACGACUGACACUUAUUCUAAAGCAACAGAUGAAUUGUCAGCAUCCACUUUCACUCAGCCACAUGCUUCUGCUCCUCAGAAGAAGACAAACUGGGAAUUUCAAACAAAGAAAGUAGAAAUACUUGAUGAACUUUCUGGUGAAAAUCCUUUACUGGAAAAUUUAAUGUGUAAGGAUUUUUGAGAGCAAGGAGAAUUCAUCCAACAAUUGAUCUGACCCUCUCUCUUUCUCUACCUGAGACCUCCCCGUGCAGCCCAGAGAGAUAACACAAGCUGGUGGAAGAUCAGAGGGAGAGAGCAGCAGAUGCCCCACUGAGCAGGAGACUCAACAUGGGGCCCAAUCACAGGAUUGCAGCUGAAGGAAGAUGCCUAACCGACUGAGCCCUCAGGUGUCUCAAGAGUGGGAUGAAGCAAGCUGCCGUGCUAUGAACACCGCAUGGAGAGGUUCAUGUGAUGAGGAACUGUGAAGCCUGCCAGAAACCAUGUUAGUGAGCUUGGGAACAGACGCGUUAGCCCCAGCUGAGCCUUGGGAUGACUGCAGUCCCUUCCCAGGUGAGAACUGGACUGUGACGUCAUGAGAGACUCCAGCCAGAACCACCCAGCUGGCACUCUUGCAUCACUGACCCUCAGAAACUGUUGUUUCAAACUGCCAGAUUUCAGAGUAAUUUGUUAUGCAGCAAAAGAUAACUAAC